AUUGAACGCUGGCGGAAUGCUUUACACAUGCAAGUCGAACGGCAGCACGGACUUCGGUCUGGUGGCGAGUGGCGAACGGGUGAGUAAUGCAUCGGAACGUGCCCAAUCGUGGGGGAUAACGUAGCGAAAGUUACGCUAGUACCGCAUACGAUCUAAGGAUGAAAGCGGGGGAUCGCAAGACCUCGCGCGAAUGGAGCGGCCGAUGUUAGAUUAGGUAGUUGGUGGGGUAAAGGCUCACCAAGCCGACGAUCUAUAGCUGGUCUGAGAGGAUGAUCAGCCACACUGGGACUGAGACACGGCCCAGACUCCUACGGGAGGCAGCAGUGGGGAAUUUUGGACAAUGGGCGCAAGCCUGAUCCAGCCAUUCCGCGUGCAGGAUGAAGGCCCUCGGGUUGUAAACUGCUUUUGUACAGAACGAAAAGCUCUGGGUUAAUACCCUGGGGUCAUGACGGUACUGUAAGAAUAAGCACCGGUUAACUACGUGCCAGCAGCCGCAGUAA
rnacentral:rRNA from 1 species